AAACAGCGAGCUUGCAACUGAUGUUGCACCCAUGGGCUCAGUUAUUUCCUGAAAUCAGCCAACAUCUUUCCUCUAAAAAAAAUAUUAUUUUGCUUUUAACCAUUUCAUCGUGUCAUAAUUGUUAUUGUUUUUGUUGUUAACACCAUGCAAUUUUACUUCUAGCUCAUGUAGAUUUUGUUCAAAUCCGGCCCUAUGAUAACUCAUUUAUUUCGUGCUGUUAUCAUCUUGGGUUGCUGCUAUUAAGGCAAUGCAUGAUGUUAUUUAUCUUCCCCAUCAUCUAGAGAAGGCAAGUUCAGUCCCUUCACCUUUUGGUCCAUUGUAUGAACUCAUUGUAAUAGAUAUUUGGUUCCUAGAGAGUCAAGAUUUCAGAAACUGUGGAAGCCCCACUCUAUAUUAGGUAAUUGUGCCCUGUUUCAAUGGCAAAAAUGCACCCAAUUCAGAAACUAUGGAAGCCCCACUCUAUAUUAGGUGGAAAGCAGAAAGUCCAUCAAACUGGCUUCAAAUGACAAGUGAGCUCAUUUAUCAAAACAGAAAUGAGCAUGUUGCAAUCACUUAAUAAUGUCUCCCUUGCAGGUUCCAUUCUUGUUUCGACUUUGGCAUCACCAUUUACAUUAGCCAUGCAUUUGCUAAAUUUGCCAAAGCUUUAUAAUCUUUUUGUAGGUUGGUUCUUUAGAUCCUGGCAAACUCAUAAAAAUACUCAAAUCAUCAAUACCCAGUCUAUUUUACAAGUUUUAAAGAACUGUCUAACUUUUAAGUGGGAGCAGAAAAUCAGGAUUUCGAUGUCUACAUUUGACAUGAAGGAUGAAUCCAAGGAAGUGAUUUGGCAAGGUGAGAUUGGUGGAGUAUAUGCGGCUUUGGAUACAUUCAAGGCUGAAAAGGCAUUUCCUAUGUGCAAACUCACACGUUUGUUGCGUGAUUCAUUGGGUGGGAGGACUAAGACAUGUAUAAUUGGUGGGCCUGUCAAAAUUGGACUGGGCCUGUCCUGUUCAUUUGGUGGACUUAAAAAUAGGCCCGUGUUUGACUUGUAGGCCUAAAAUUAGAUCAAGUUGGGACCAUGGGGGCCAGGUUCAUACAGGACUUGUCUCUAUGGGAACUGCACCAAAAUAUGUUGGUAGUGGGAGGAAUGCUAAUACUGGAAAGGAUAAUGGGGUCAAUCAAAGCACCGACAGAGGCCUUACAUCCACCUCUUCACCAGUUUCACAGGACAUAGAAAAUAAGGCAACCAUUCC